ensembl:lncRNA
GUGGGAUAAAAAUAUUCCUUAAAUCAAUUAAAACAUCCUCUGUAGAAUUGGGAGGAAUAAAUAUAAGGACAAAAGCAGACAAUUAUGACUAUAAAGAGUGACAGAUGAUUUUAUUUUCUGUCUCCCUGUUCUAGUUAUCUCCCUGUUCUAGUUGAUGAAAUUUAGGAAGAUUCAUCUGGACUUGUUGUUCGGAGACCAGUACACCUGCAUAAACAGACUUGACCGCUGUCUGCAUACUGCACUCUGUAAAUUGACAUGCUAUGCCAAAACACUACUUGGAAAUUCACACCAUCAUCAGCAGUGGUGUCCAUUGGAAGCACAAUAUAGUUUAUAUGUCAAGAAUGCUGCCUCUUGAUGCUCAAAAAGCUGCAAUUCUUCAGGUAUCGAGGAAAAAGGAUCAAACUCAGUACCUUGCGCUUGGGAAGCAGGCAGCAGCACCACUGAGCUAAAUCCUCAGCCCCAUAGAUAUAUUUUUGAGCCCUUCAGAAUGGAUAAAAAAGAGGGAAGAAGACAGAGAAGACUUGGCUGUAGCCAUGGAAGCCAUGGGAAGACCUAUGCUCUGUUCUGUAUUCUGAUUCUCCCCAGCUACUUGGGGUAGAUCAUAUUCCUAUGUGCCAAGGACCCCAGAAUAUUUCCUCCACCCUCCCAACCCCUACCUCCACCCA